UACGGAAGGGGGCUAGCGUUGCUCGGAAUCACUGGGCGUAAAGGGUGCGUAGGCGGGUCUUUAAGUCAGGGGUGAAAUCCUGGAGCUCAACUCCAGAACUGCCUUUGAUACUGAAGAUCUUGAGUUCGGGAGAGGUGAGUGGAACUGCGAGUGUAGAGGUGAAAUUCGUAGAUAUUCGCAAGAACACCAGUGGCGAAGGCGGCUCACUGGCCCGAUACUGACGCUGAGGCACGAAAGCGUGGGGAGCAAACAGG
rnacentral:rRNA from 1 species